UAGGGAAUCUUCCGCAAUGGGCGAAAGCCUGACGGAGCAACGCCGCGUGAGUGAUGAAGGGUUUCGGCUCGUAAAACUCUGUUAUUAGGGAAGAACAAAUGUGUAAGUAACUGUGCACAUCUUGACGGUACCUAAUCAGAAAGCCACGGCUAACUACGUGCCAGCAGCCGCGGUAAUACGUAGGUGGCAAGCGUUAUCCGGAGUUAUUGGGCGUAAAGCGCGCGUAGGCGGUUUCUUAAGUCUGAUGUGAAAGCCCACGGCUCAACCGUGGAGGGUCAUUGGAAACUGGGAAACUUGAGUGCAGAAGAGGAAAGUGGAAUUCCAUGUGUAGCGGUGAAAUGCGCAGAGAUAUGGAGGAACACCAGUGGCGAAGGCGACUUUCUGGUCUGUAACUGACGCUGAUGUGCGAAAGCGUGGGGAUCAAACAGG
rnacentral:rRNA from 1 species